rnacentral:rRNA from 1 species
AACAUCUAAGUACCCAGAGGAAGAGAAAGAAAAUUCGAUUCCCUAAGUAGCGGCGAGCGAAAGGGGAAGAGCCCAAACCAGGAACUUGUUCCUGGGGUUGCGGAUAGAUCAUAACGCUUUGAUUUCUUUAGUUGAAGAGAACUGGAAAGUUCCGUCGUAGAAGGUAAUAACCCUGUAGGCGAAAAGGAAAGAAAAGUAGAUCUACUCCAGAGUACCACGAGACACGUGAAACCUUGUGGGAAGCUGGGAGGACCAUCUCCCAAGGCUAAAUACUACCUAGUGACCGAUAGUGAAGCAGUACCGUGAGGGAAAGGUGAAAAGAACCCCGGAAGGGGAGUGAAAUAGAAUCUGAAACCGUGUGCCUACAAUCGGUCGGAGCACAUUAAAGUGUGACGGCGUACUUUUUGUAGAACGGGCCAGCGAGUUACGAUAUAUAGCAAGGUUAAGCACUUAUGGUGUGGAGCCGAAGGGAAACCGAGUCUGAAUAGGGCAACUAGUUGUAUAUUGUAGACCCGAAACCGAGUGACCUAUCCAUGGCCAGGAUGAAGCGGAAGUAAAAUUCCGUGGAGGUCCGAACCACGUUGGUGUUGAAAAACCAUGGGAUGAGCUGUGGAUAGCGGAGAAAUUCCAAUCGAACUCGGAGAUAGCUGGUUCUCCUCGAAAUAGCUUUAGGGCUAGCGUCGGGUAAUUGAGUAGUGGAGGUAGAGCACUGAAUGGGCUAGGGGCUGACAACAGUUACUGAACCCUAUCAAACUCCGAAUGCCAUAUACUUGUACCCCGGCAGUCAGACUACGAAUGAUAAGAUCCGUGGUCAAAAGGGAAACAGCCCAGACCAUCAGCUAAGGUCCCAAAGUGUAAGUUAAGUGGGAAAGGAUGUGGGAUUUCUAAGACAACUAGGAUGUUGGCUUAGAAGCAGCCACUCAUUUAAAGAGUGCGUAAUAGCUCACUAGUCGAGAGAUCCUGCGCCGAAGAUGUAACGGGGCUCAAACUUACCACCGAAGCUAUGGAUGUGUACUUUGUACACGUGGUAGAGGAGCUUUCUGUACAGGUUGAAGUCAUACCGUAAGGAGUGGUGGACAGUACAGAAGUGAGA